AAUGAAAGAAAGAGAGAACUACAAAGCAUCAAGAGAGAACUACAAAGAACACUAAGUUUAAAAAAAAAAUCGGCUCCUCUUCCUCAAAUGUGUCCCCAUUCC